GGAGCCUUAUCAGGAGUGGUCCGCCCACAGUGGGCGGCACCUCAAGCCACGCCCCCUAAAGUAGUUUGCAUAAAGCAGCGGGAUGGCCUUCCGAUAAGGAAGCGUUUCCGGGGGUGGAGCCGUCGCAGCUCUUCGGGGCAAUCACUCGAGGUGUUGGCUGACUACUGUCUUCGUAGGUCCAGAGCUCAAGUUGGGAAGAGAGAUAUCGUUAUUGAAAUACCAAUAGGGUUCUGGAGGGCACCUCCAAGAGUCCUCCAGAGCCGUUGAAAUUGAGGCUCAGUCAGAAGCCUGCAGACCUGCCAUUCUGGAGAGAUAAGACUUAUAUGUCAGGACCAAAGAAACACGGCAUGGUUUCAGGAAAAGCACUUUACAAAUACAUUCCAAUGAUGUGUUGUCUCCAGGAAGUCAUUGAAGAGUUUGCCUGAGAAAGGGAAGUGUCCCUGAGAAAAGGCCACUGAGAGGGGAACGUCAUGCAUGCAGAGUGAGAAUCCAUAGGCAACAACCAACCAUCUGGCUACUGAGAAUGGGGUGUUUUGCUCUUGAUGUCGUAGAUAAGAUGACCAAUUUUCAGGAAAUGCAGAAUAAACUCAUAGUAAUAGAGGAGUAUGGUAUUUUAUAAGGCAGGUUAACUGAAAUAACUAAACGUUUUUCUAUCUGCAAGUUUCACUUUUUAUCUUAGGUAUUACAGUAAAACAUAGAAUUACGAGAUAUAAUGGAAUGCCAUGUUUGUGUC